rnacentral:rRNA from 1 species
AUUGAACGCUGGCGGCAUGCCUUACACAUGCAAGUCGAACGGCAGCACGGGAGCAAUCCUGGUGGCGAGUGGCGAACGGGUGAGUAAAGUAUCGGAACGUGCCCAGUCGUGGGGGAUAACGUAGCGAAAGUUACGCUAAUACCGCAUACGAUCUAUGGAUGAAAGCGGGGGAUCGCAAGACCUCGCGCGAUUGGAGCGGCCGAUAUCAGAUUAGGUAGUUGGUGGGGUAAGGGCUCACCAAGCCGACGAUCUGUAGCUGGUCUGAGAGGACGACCAGCCACACUGGGACUGAGACACGGCCCAGACUCCUACGGGAGGCAGCAGUGGGGAAUUUUGGACAAUGGGCGAAAGCCUGAUCCAGCCAUGUCGCGUGCAGGAUGAAGGCCUUCGGGUUGUAAACUGCUUUUGUACGGAACGAAACGGUGAGCUCUAAUACAGUUUGCUAAUGACGGUACCGUAAGAAUAAGCACCGGCUAACUACGUGCCAGCCGCCGCAGUAAAAC